CAAAAAUAAACCCAGAUCUUCCUUUUCUUCUUUCUUCUACAAAUCCUUGUUUAUUUUGCAUGUUUUUAUUAACUAACUCAAUUUUUCAUUUUUCCGUUUUUCAGUUGUUAUUCAUCACUCAUCACUAAGAUCUGGAAAUUAAAGAGGAGUAAAACAUGCUGGAAAUAACAAAGAUGAAGAGACGGUUAACCGAUUCUACUCGAAGAAAUUGUAGACCAGAAUGCAAAAACAAGUAACUAAAUGAUGCACUCUAUGAUAGAGAAACAAUAUUUGAUUUUGAAUUUACUGUCCAAUACCAUUUUCAUGAAGACAUGUUAUUGUACUUUCUAAGUUUCUUUACGAUAUUUUA